AGAAAUUUUAUUUUGGCCAGGAGCUGAAGUUGGUUGUUUAGUAGUAGUAGUUUGAGUAGUGACCGAAGUAGUAGUCUGGUGUGUGGGUGCAAGAGUAGUUGGGGAAGAAUUAGGUGUGGGUGGGGCAGCUGUGGUCUCUGGUGGAGCUGAGGCGGAUGAUGGGUCUAGGGUAGUUGCAGAAGGUGUGGGUGGGACAGCUGUGGUCUCUGGUGGAGCUGAGGAAGAUAGUGGAGCUGGUGUAGUUGCAGAAGGUGUGGGUGGGGCAGCUGUGGUGUCUUGUGGAGCUGGGGAAUUCACUGGUGCUAAUGUAGCUACAGAAGAGCUUGUGUUAACAUUUUCUCUUGAAGAUAUGGUGGUGGCAUUCUGGGGAAGAAAAGUCACAUUUGGAAGGGUAGUAAUUUUGGUGGCUGGUGGAAGCUUAGGCCUACAGCGUUUGUGCAGACAUUUAUAGGACUUUCUAAUGAACGGCUUCUGGUGAGCUAGCAG
rnacentral:lncRNA from 1 species